GCCGGGUGUGUAAGCGCAGCGAUGCGUUGAGCUAACCGGUACUAAUGAACCGUGAGGCUUAACCUUACAACGCCGAAG
rnacentral:rRNA from 8 species